rnacentral:lncRNA from 1 species
UCGUUUACCCCUCCCCGAUUCUAUCACUCCCGGUUCAAUUCCGUCCCCCGAAAUCCCUAGGCCCCCUCGGCCCCUACCUCCGCCCCAUCACCUUAGCGCCGCGAGCGCGCCAGGCGGACACGGCGAACAAGGCGGCGCCGCAGCGGGGUGCUCGCAGCCAGCGUGCGACCUUUCUGUAGCGAGUACAGGCGGCCGGUGUACAAGCGGCGGCCAGAAGGCGGGAGCGAAGUCGCGGCUCCACAGCAUCUACCCUUGCAGCCAACGCGAUCUCGGCCGCGCGACCGACGAACACUUCCGCGGGAGGACUAGGUACUCUCGAUGCACAUCAUGCUUCCUGUAGCGACUGAAUGCGUUAGCAAAAUUUGAUAGGUUAUGGAUGGGUAAUAUUUUUUUUUCUGUGGUAGCAAAAUCUGAUGGAUUCUAGAUUUUUUUUUGUCCCCUGCGUUCUGCUCAUGGGCAAAAUCAGAUUGAUUGUUCACGGGUGUUUGUGUUGUCGAGAGAUGUUGGCUAAUUCUGUUGUCAGAAUCUGAUUGUGAUUGUGCUUGAAAGAAGUCCACAUACCCCCCCUGAACUCUCAGAUUUCGAGCACAUCACCCCCCAACUGUGAAACCGGGUUCUUAAUCCCCUGGACUGUCCAAUACCACACAAAUCACCCCCUGAUGGCGUUUUGGGUGGUUUGAGACGCUGGUUUUGCACAUGUGGCAGAUGCUUUGCCAGGUAUGAUUGACCAAGGCGUCUGUUUCGCGUGGGAAUCGGCAGUGAGGGUUACUAAGUCUGAAUAUUUUUCUGAAAUGAGUACUAAUGUAUUUGUUUGUCUGAAUUUUGUCCAGAAGUGAACAUAUGCAGAGCAACAGUUUUGUUUAUGAGGGAACACGUGCAAAGCUAAAAUUUUGUCUAAAAGGGAACACUUGCAAAGCAACAGGUGUACAUGGAUUUUGUCUGAAUUGCAUAAACCUGAAUAUAUGUCUGAAACUGGCAGCAAUCUCACUGUAAAAAUACAAAAACACAUAAACCUGAAUAUAUAUCUGAAACCUAAAUAUAUGUCUGAAUUGCAUAAAUUUGACCAUAUCAUUUGGCACUUUCAUUCAUCAUCCAUCAGAAUAAAGUUCUUUUUUUUUGCGGGGGCCAUCAGAAUAAAGUUCAACAUGACCAAAAGCACAAAAUGCAGUAGUUUUGCACUGUCAUUCAUCAUCCACUAGAGGUGGGUUUAACAUGACCAAAACACAUAAUUUAAGAUGAUGUUUUACAUCAACAAAAGCUCAAGCUUGUCACUGAUGCUACACAUCACCACUGCUCAUAAGUAAGCAUAAGCACACUAUCCCAUCCUUCCUGUUAGAAGCCACUCGAACCUCCCAUCACCAUAAGCUGGAACUUGUGAUGAAGAUGUGCUUGGCUGAGAAUUUGAAGUCCUUGGUGCCCUAAAUGGCCUUGGUGCCCUUGUAGCUGCAGGAGCCCUUGUUGGUGCUGGUACCCUUGUAGCUGCUGGAGCCCUUGUUG